AUUCAGCUGACGAGUCCCAAAUAGGACGAAACAUGCGUCAAACUGCAU
rnacentral:hammerhead_ribozyme from 1 species